rnacentral:misc_RNA from 1 species
CUCAUGGAGGACGCUCGCGUCCGCCCCCGAUUUCGUCGGGACCCCCUGUUUUAUUGAGCACCGUCCGUUUCCUCGGUGGGCCCGCCCGCCAGUGAGGACCAACCAAAACCUUUGCAAUGAGCAGUACGUCGGUAGAAAACAAAUCUUCA